GUGCUCGCUUUGGCAGCACAUAUACUAAAAUUGGAGCCAUACAGAGAUUAGUAUGGCCCCUGCACGAAGAUCACACGCAAAUUCAGGAAGCAUCCCAUAGUUUU
ensembl:snRNA U6 U6 spliceosomal RNA